GGAGCGGGGGCGCCCGGCCCCGUCCCGCCCGCCGCGGAGCCGCCCGAGCAGCGCCGCGGGGGCGCUGAGGGAGGGAGGCCGGCGGGGGGGAGGCAGCGAGGCCGCCCCCCGCUGCACCCCCGGCGGGUCGCUGGCGGCGGAGGGGCCGCGGGAUCCGUCCGCGCUCGCUGCCCCCGUGCAGAGCCCGAAGCAGCCUCGCCGCCUCCUCCUCCUCUUCCUCCUCCUCCUCAUCCUCGUCCUCCUCCUCUUCCUCCACCGCGGCGGCGGCGGCGGCCCGCGGGUGACAUGCAGUCCCUCAUCUCUCCGGUGACCAAGGCUAUCCUGGUGGCUUUGUUCAUCUUCGCCAUCCUGCUGAUCCUCUACGUGAUCCUGUGGUACAUCUGCCGCGAUGUGGAUUGCGACCACGGCAUCUGAGCGGCGGCGCGGGGACAGGGCUUAGGAGACGGAUUCACCCCGCGGGGGCCGGCAGCGGGAGCCGCCGCCGGAGCGAGGGGAAGGAGGAAAAGGAAGAAGGAAAAAAAAUAAUAAAAAGAAAAAUAAAAAAUAAACGGACCGAGCCGAGCCGCCGCCAGAGCCCGGAGGACGACUGCGACCGAGCAGCCAGCCUGAGCCUGACCUUCAGAGAGCAGCGUGACCCGUGGCUUGAAAUGUGCACUGAAGAUCGUUACAACGUGAGAGGCUCUCCUCAGAGACAAACAAUGGUCCAAACCUGAAGACGACCAGCAAGGCGUCAUCGAGACGUCCUCUUGUCAUGCAAGUUGAACGAUUUCCCCUCCAAGUGAGCAUGAAGUAGGGGAACGUCAGGCUGCUGUCACUCAGGACACGUCAACCUGCCCUGCACGGCUCCAGCCCCAUUUACCAGAGAUCUCAGGGAAGGAGAGAUCGUCGAAGGGUCCCGUGGCCUUCAGAACUGUGACCCUGCUGCUACCUGCGCCGUGACGAGCGCUCGGUAUGGUUUGUAUAUUUACCAGCACCUUGAGGGUGGGGUUGCAGGGAUUAAUUGCCAUGCUUAUAAUAGCUGAAGCUAGCCAGGUUAUGACAAAUUUUGGGGCCAUGGCAGGGAAUACAGUGCCAGUGUAAGAAGUGUAUUAAACCUGAAGUGU